rnacentral:misc_RNA from 1 species
GCUCCUCGGCAAACUUCAUGGUAUUUAUACUUUUCUUUUUUUAUCUUUUUAUGUUACUUUUGAUUACCCUUUUGUAUCCUUUUGGCUGAUAUAAUAUUUCAGGGUGAAUUUCAAUUUCUUUCCAAGUUUUGUUCGUUGCAUAUAUGUCUUUAAUUAUGAGGUUCUUGGGGGAAUUCACUUCAUUGUGUUUAGUUCUUAACAACUUAAUUAUGCAGGUAAGGAGUGGAGGCACAGGCA